ensembl:lncRNA
GUAGGCAGUGAGCGCAGGUUAAAAAAGGAAAGUGAAUCUGGUUCCUGAGUUUGAGAAACUCAUGACGCAUCCAGGUAGAGACUUAAAAUACUUGGAAGAGCAAUCUGCCUGAAAAUAGAGAUUUGGAAGACAUCAGCAAAUAGGCGGUAGUGGAAACAAGGAAGUGAACGCUCAGAAAAGUAGUGGAUAGAGAGCUCAUGUAGUGCGUAGAGAGCUCAUGUAGUGGGUGGAGAGCUCAUGUAGUGGGUAGAGAGCCAGGAAGUGCAGACUCGGGAGUGGACGGGGAAGGGAGGGAGAUGAGGGGCCAGAGAAAGUUUCAAGAAGGAGAAAAGUAUAAUUCUUCAGAAAGGUUGAUAAAUCACGGUGCUGACCUCUUUUCCCCUCCUGCUGUUUGGAGACGUCUGGGCCCUCAUUUAGUGCUUCCUUUCGGAGGACGCUGGGCCUUCCAGGACUGUGUGACCCGCCCAGCAUGGAUGCUGAUCUGCGCUCCUGAAAUGACCUUAUUCUUCACAGAUCCCAAGGAAAGAUUGACCAAUGGAGCUGUGGAAGAACAAGAAUCCAGCUGGCCCCUUGGAACAACUGGGACCAAAAGUUUCAACAUCUUCAGGACUCUCUUUCAAUCCCUAGGUCCUCUGUUGGCCUCAUUCCUAUUCCCCACAAUUAGCUGUGUCUACACGCAAAAAACAUGGCUCCCCAAGUAACACUUAACAACUUCUGCCUCCAAAGAGGGACUCCCCAUCUUCCCUAGUCUCACACAGGGCUGUCGUUCAGCCAGCAUGCCCUGGUUUUGGACACUGACGAUCAACCCUGGAAUUAGUUUCAAAUAUCCCAGGGAAGGGAAUCGUUGGUGUUACCUUUCAUUCAAUAAACUACAGGCAGGGGGCCAGGUUCCUUAAGAGCAUGGCUGCUCCCACAAACAUCACAGGUUUGAUGUGAUGGAAGAUACACUUCCCAAGAAUAAGGGUUGGUACUGGGAAGAUGACUUCUAUAUGUGUAGUUCUGGCUUUCAUCUUCCAAAAUGGUAAAAUACAGUAACUUUUUAAAGGAAAAGAAAAAAAUCGAAGGUACUCAAAAUCAUCUUUCUUUCUCAAUUUUAUUUCUACUCUCUCUCCAUUAGAAUGCACUUCAGCAUGUAUGUGCUAAGUCACUUCAGUCAUGUCCAACUUUGUGUGACCCUACGGACUGCAGCCUGCCAGGCGCCUCUGUCCAUGGGAUUCUCCAGGCAAGAAUCCUGGAGUAGGUUGCCAUGCCCUCCUCC